CGGCUCAGUAACACGUGGAUAACCUACCCUCAGAUCUGGGAUAACUCCGGGAAACUGGAGAUAAUACCGGAUAAUCCGUGAACGCUGGAAUGCCUUACGGUUGAAAGCUUUAGCGUCUGAGGAUGGGUCUGCGGCCGAUUAGGUAGUUGCUGGGGUAACGUCCCAACAAGCCGAUAAUCGGUACGGGUUGUGAGAGCAAGAGCCCGGAGAUGGAUUCUGAGACACGAAUCCAGGUCCUACGGGGCGCAGCAGGCGCGAAAACUUUACACUGCGCGAAAGCGCGAUAAGGGGACCUCGAGUGCGUGCGCAAUGCGUACGCUUUUCAGAUGCCUAAAAAGCAUGUGGAAUAAGGGCCGGGCAAGACCGGUGCCAGCCGCCGCGGUAACACCGGCGGCUCAAGUGGUGGCCGCUAUUAUUGGGCUUAAAGGGUCCGUAGCCGGACCAGUUAGUCCCUUGGGAAAUCUUACGGCUUAACCGUAAGGCUGCCAAUGGAUACUGCUGGUCUUGGGACCGGGAGAGGUAAGAGGUACCUCAGGGGUAGGAGUGAAAUCCUGUAAUCCUUGAGGGACCGCCAGUGGCGAAGGCGUCUUACUAGAACGGGUCCGACGGUGAGGGACGAAAGCU
rnacentral:rRNA from 1 species